rnacentral:sRNA from 1 species
GCACUGCUGGUGUAGUGGUAUCAUGCAAGAUUCCA